GAGAGCCGUAUGAUGCAAAAGUAUCACGUACGGUUCGGAGGGAGGUUGUUGGAAAAGUACAUCAGGAAUUACCAUGAUGCAACUCGCUGGCCGCCUACUCUAU
rnacentral:ncRNA from 1 species